rnacentral:lncRNA from 1 species
UUGAUGAUACAUAUAAAGUGUUGUAGUCUUGAGUAGUCAACUCACAUCUAUGACCUCGGGAAAAUAAUUUGUUGAAACCCUAUAAAGGUUGUGCUCAUUUGAAAAAUGAAGAUUUUGAUGUAAAAAUUAUUCAAAUCCAAAUUCAUAUAAAAGAUAUUAACUAAAUAAAAAAGUGAAGGAAAACAAGAAAAUACAAAAAAAUACAAGCCACCUCCUAUUUCUCUCACUAGAAACGAAAAAAAUAAAUUCGUUGUC